UACGUAGGGUGCGAGCGUUGUCCGGAAUUACUGGGCGUAAAGAGCUCGUAGGUGGUUUGUCGCGUUGUUCGUGAAAACCGGGGGCUUAACCCUCGGCGUGCGGGCGAUACGGGCAGACUUGAGUACUGCAGGGGAGACUGGAAUUCCUGGUGUAGCGGUGGAAUGCGCAGAUAUCAGGAGGAACACCGGUGGCGAAGGCGGUUCUCUGGGCAUGUCCUGACGCUGAGGAGCGAAAGUGGUGGGGAGCGAACAGG
rnacentral:rRNA from 1 species